CACCAGCGGCGAGAAACCGCCUUUGAUGCUGGGGCCGAACUAGGAUCGACGUGUGUUGAAAAGCGCAGUUUUUGCUCGGGCUGAGUAACCCGUUCAAGGCUCAAAACCAUAAGUGCCAAUGACAAUGAAGCACUCGCUCUCGCUGCGUAAUUUGAUGGCCUAGCGGCCUGAAUUUACAAAGCCAAAGCGCGGUUGGACCCACCGGGCAACAGAAGGGAUUCCGG
rnacentral:tmRNA from 1 species